rnacentral:rRNA from 1 species
AUUGAACGCUGGCGGCAGGCCUAACACAUGCAAGUCGAGCGGAUGAGGAAAGCUUGCUUUUCGAUUCAGCGGCGGACGGGUGAGUAAUGCCUAGGAAUCUGCCUGUUAGUGGGGGAUAACUCGGGGAAACUCGGGCUAAUACCGCAUACGUCCUACGGGAGAAAGUGGGGGAUCUUCGGACCUCACGCUAACAGAUGAGCCUAGGUCGGAUUAGCUAGUAGGUGAGGUAAUGGCUCACCUAGGCGACGAUCCGUAACUGGUCUGAGAGGAUGAUCAGUCACACUGGAACUGGGACACGGUCCAGACUCCUACGGGAGGCAGCAGUGGGGAAUAUUGGACAAUGGGCGAAAGCCUGAUCCAGCCAUGCCGCGUGUGUGAAGGAGGUCUUCGGAUUGUAAAGCACUUUAAGUUGGGAGGAAGGGUAUUCACCUAAUACGUGGGUACUUUGACGUUACCAACAGAAUAAGCACCGGCUAACUCUGUGCCAGCCGCCGCCGUAAUAC